GAUGAACGCUGGCGGCGUGCCUAAUACAUGCAAGUCGAGCGAACGGACGAGAAGCUUGCUUCUCUGAUGUUAGCGGCGGACGGGUGGGUAACACGUGGAUAACCUACCUAUAAGACUGGGAUAACUUCGGGAAACCGGAGCUAAUACCGGAUAAUAUUUUGAACCGCAUGGUUCAAAAGUGAAAGACGGUCUUGCUGUCACUUAUAGAUGGAUCCGCGCUGCAUUAGCUAGUUGGUAAGGUAACGGCUUACCAAGGCAACGAUGCAUAGCCGACCUGAGAGGGUGAUCGGCCACACUGGAACUGAGACACGGUCCAGACUCCUACGGGAGGCAGCAGUAGGGAAUCUUCCGCAAUGGGCGAAAGCCUGACGGAGCAACGCCGCGUGAGUGAUGAAGGCCUUCGGAUCGUAAAACUCUGUUAUUAGGGAAGAACAUAUGUGUAAGUAACUGUGCACAUCUUGACGGUACCUAAUCAGAAAGCCACGGCUAACUACGUGCCAGCAGCCGCGGUAAUACGUAGGUGGCAAGCGUUAUCCGGAAUUAUUGGGCGUAAAGCGCGCGUAGGCGGUUUUUUAAGUCUGAUGUGAAAGCCCACGGCUCAACCGUGGAGGGUCAUUGGAAACUGGAAAACUUGAGUGCAGAAGAGGAAAGUGGAAUUCCAUGUGUAGCGGUGAAAUGCGCAGAGAUAUGGAGGAACACCAGUGGCGAAGGCGACUUUCUGGUCUGUAACUGACGCUGAUGUGCGAAAGCGUGGGGAUCAAACAGGAUUAGAUACCCUGGUAGUCCACGCCGUAAACGAUGAGUGCUAAGUGUUAGGGGGUUUCCGCCCCUUAGUGCUGCAGCUAACGCAUUAAGCACUCCGCCUGGGGAGUACGACCGCAAGGUUGAAACUCAAAGGAAUUGACGGGGACCCGCACAAGCGGUGGAGCAUGUGGUUUAAUUCGAAGCAACGCGAAGAACCUUACCAAAUCUUGACAUCCUUUGACAACUCUAGAGAUAGAGCCUUCCCCUUCGGGGGACAAAGUGACAGGUGGUGCAUGGUUGUCGUCAGCUCGUGUCGUGAGAUGUUGGGUUAAGUCCCGCAACGAGCGCAACCCUUAAGCUUAGUUGCCAUCAUUAAGUUGGGCACUCUAAGUUGACUGCCGGUGACAAACCGGAGGAAGGUGGGGAUGACGUCAAAUCAUCAUGCCCCUUAUGAUUUGGGCUACACACGUGCUACAAUGGACAAUACAAAGGGCAGCGAAACCGCGAGGUCAAGCAAAUCCCAUAAAGUUGUUCUCAGUUCGGAUUGUAAUCUGCAACUCGACUACAUGAAGCUGGAAUCGCUAGUAGUCGUAGAUCAGCAUGCUACGGUGAAUACGUUCCCGGGUCU
rnacentral:rRNA from 1 species